GUGCAAAUGAUGGAGAAAAAUCACUAUUUGUGAGGAAAAAAAAAAAUGACAUGAACAAAGGAACCACUGAUGCAC